UUAAGCGACUAAGCGUACACGGUGGAUGCCCUGGCAGUCAGAGGCGAUGAAGGACGUGCUAAUCUGCGAAAAGCGCCGGCGAGGUGAUAUGAACCUUUGACCCGGCGAUGUCCGAAUGGGGAAACCCAGUGCAAUUCGUUGCACUAUCGUUAACUGAAUACAUAGGUUAACGAGGCGAACCGGGGGAACUGAAACAUCUAAGUACCCCGAGGAAAAGAAAUCAACCGAGAUUCCCCCAGUAGCGGCGAGCGAACGGGGAGCAGCCCAGAGUCUGAAUCAGCUUGUGUGUUAGUGGAAGCGUCUGGAAAGUCGCACGGUACAGGGUGACAGUCCCGUACACGAAAGCACACAGGCUGUGAACUCGAAGAGUAGGGCGGGACACGUGGUAUCCUGUCUGAAUAUGGGGGGACCAUCCUCCAAGGCUAAAUACUCCUGACUGACCGAUAGUGAACCAGUACCGUGAGGGAAAGGCGAAAAGAACCCCGGCGAGGGGAGUGAAAAAGAACCUGAAACCGUGUACGUACAAGCAGUGGGAGCACCUUCGUGGUGUGACUGCGUACCUUUUGUAUAAUGGGUCAGCGACUUAUAUUCUGUAGCAAGGUUAACCGUAUAGGGGAGCCGAAGGGAAACCGAGUCUUAACUGGGCGUUAAGUUGCAGGGUAUAGACCCGAAACCCGGUGAUCUAGCCAUGGGCAGGUUGAAGGUUGGGUAACACUAACUGGAGGACCGAACCGACUAAUGUUGAAAAAUUAGCGGAUGACUUGUGGCUGGGGGUGAAAGGCCAAUCAAACCGGGAGAUAGCUGGUUCUCCCCGAAAGCUAUUUAGGUAGCGCCUCGUGAACUCAUCUUCGGGGGUAGAGCACUGUUUCGGCUAGGGGGCCAUCCCGGCUUACCAACCCGAUGCAAACUACGAAUACCGAAGAAUGUUAUCACGGGAGACACACGGCGGGUGCUAACGUCCGUCGUGAAGAGGGAAACAACCCAGACCGCCAGCUAAGGUCCCAAAGUCAUGGUUAAGUGGGAAACGAUGUGGGAAGGCACAGACAGCCAGGAUGUUGGCUUAGAAGCAGCCAUCAUUUAAAGAAAGCGUAAUAGCUCACUGGUCGAGUCGGCCUGCGCGGAAGAUGUAACGGGGCUAAACCAUGCACCGAAGCUGCGGCAGCGACGCGUAUGCGUUGUUGGGUAGGGGAGCGUUCUGUAAGCCGUUGAAGGUGUGCUGUGAGGCAUGCUGGAGGUAUCAGAAGUGCGAAUGCUGACAUAAGUAACGAUAAAGCGGGUGAAAAGCCCGCUCGCCGGAAGACCAAGGGUUCCUGUCCAACGUUAAUCGGGGCAGGGUGAGUCGACCCCUAAGGCGAGGCCGAAAGGCGUAGUCGAUGGGAAACAGGUUAAUAUUCCUGUACUUGGUGUUACUGCGAAGGGGGGACGGAGAAGGCUAUGUUAGCCGGGCGACGGUUGUCCCGGUUUAAGCAUGUAGGCGGAGGUUCCAGGUAAAUCCGGUACCUUUUAACGCUGAGGUGUGAUGACGAGGCACUACGGUGCUGAAGUAACAAAUGCCCUGCUUCCAGGAAAAGCCUCUAAGCAUCAGGUAACACGAAAUCGUACCCCAAACCGACACAGGUGGUCAGGUAGAGAAUACCAAGGCGCUUGAGAGAACUCGGGUGAAGGAACUAGGCAAAAUGGUGCCGUAACUUCGGGAGAAGGCACGCUGAUAUGUAGGUGAAGCCCCUGCGGGUGGAGCUGAAAUCAGUCGAAGAUACCAGCUGGCUGCAACUGUUUAUUAAAAACACAGCACUGUGCAAACACGAAAGUGGACGUAUACGGUGUGACGCCUGCCCGGUGCCGGAAGGUUAAUUGAUGGGGUUAGCGGCAACGCGAAGCUCUUGAUCGAAGCCCCGGUAAACGGCGGCCGUAACUAUAACGGUCCUAAGGUAGCGAAAUUCCUUGUCGGGU
rnacentral:rRNA from 1 species